GAGAGGAUGAAGACUGGAUAGGAAGAAGAGUGAAAGAGGAGGAAAGAUUGGAGAAGGAGAAGGAAAGAUGAAGGGAGUAAAAAGAGUGAAGCGAGGAGAGUGUGGAAGAGUGAGGCGGAAAGGUAAAGAGAAGGAAAGGCAGGAAGAGGACUGAAGAAAAGAGUAGGAGAAAGAUUGGAGGAGAAGAAAAAGUUAAGAGUAAGAAGAGUGACACAAUGACAUGAGACAAUGUCCAUUUAUACGCUCAGGUCAAGACAAUAGAAUGGUUCACUGCACCCUUUGUAAGUCCUCUUUUUCAAUCGGCAGCGGGGGACGAACGGCAGUGGUAGAACAUCAACAGACCAAAAAGAUUGCCCGUGUUGGUUUGCCCUCUGUCACCACAUUCUUCAAGAAGGUAGCGCCUUCCCAAGAAGAAUAUGAUUUAGCUGUGCAGGAGGGAUGUCUUUGCAUACCACACUAUGCGACACAAUCAUAGUUACAGAUCUCUGGGCUGCACAGCACAACUGACACGGAAGCUUUAUGAGCCAAAGUUUACAUGUGCUAGGACAAAAUGUGAAGCCAUAGUAAGUAGCGUGUUAGCACCUUGGGCAACUACUUUAGUAACACAGGACCUAGACCAGGUUGAAUUUGUCUCCCUGUCCAUUGAUGCGUCCAAUCAUGGACAUGUAAAGCUGCUGCCAAUAGUAGUCAGAUAUUGUAAGAUAUAUGAUGGCAACACAUCUGUGGAAACAAACCUGCUUGAUUUUGUUGAAUUGAAAGGAGAAACAGCAGAGGAAAUUGCAGCUGAGGUCCUGGAGGUCAUAAAAAAAAUGUAACCUGGAAAACAAAGUCGUGGCAUUCUCUGCCCACAACACAAAUACCAGCUGGGGAGGGUCAAUGUCCAUACCAAAGUUAAAAAUGCUCUGCAGUGGGAGGUGAUUAGCUUAGGUUGUCCUGCCCACAUCAUUCAUAACACGGCCAGAACAGCUUUGGAUAUGAUUCCCCUUGAUGUUGAGUACCUGCUCACAAAGAUAUUUGGACAUUUUCACCGUUGGGAGUAGAAAGACUGAAGAGCUUUUUUUUAGGACACAGAAAUGUUCGCUGGCUGUCCAUGCUCCCUGCUCUAGAAAGAGUGCUGAAAAUGUAUGUGCCAUUGAAAUCCUUUUUUCUUUCUGAAGACAAAUGCCCUGUUGUCCUGCGAACAAUGUUCGAAGAUCCACUGACUGAACUUUGGCUGGUCUUUGUCCAUGGAAACCUGACCGUAUUCGGUGACACAAUCAAGAUGCUUGAGGACCAGGACCACUGUGCUGUGGAGUCCGCUGCAAUUCUGAGGAACAUUGAGGCAAAAUUGACUGCAAGACGUGAUGACAACUUCAUUCCAGUUUUGGUCAGAGGACUUCUGAGAGAGCUGGAGGACAAUGGAGACAUGUCUAAAGAGAGCUUUCUCAAAACAUCCCAGUCGUUCUUCACUACGGCUGUGAACUACUUGCAAGCAUGGGGAAAGCACACAGAUCAUCUAAAAGAUUUACAUAGUCUCCUUUUUACAAAGGCAACCUCAGCGUGAAGAGAUCCAGAAGGCAGCAGACACACUGCAGGAAAAAUGCCCCAUUGUGGCCAUCGCUGAGGAUGCAUUGUUUGACGAGGUUACUGGAUUGCAACAGUUCCUAAAGGGUUACCCACUUCAAAGAGAACGACAUCUCACACAUUAACCUGGCUAAAAUUAGGCUCUGUUGUCAUGUGCUUACCUGGAAGUAAAGCACCAGUCGAGAGAGUGUUCUCCUAAAUGAAUGAUCUAUGGACAGCAGCAAGAAAUAGGUUCACUGUUCCUACCAUCAAGGCCAUGCUUAUUGUGAAGACAAACUUCAACCUCCUCUGCCAGGAGUUCAUGGAGAAUCUGGCCGAAGACAUAGCAAUCCUGAAGGAGAUACAUUCUUCUGAGAAAUAUACAGAUUAGGCCACCAGGACCACUGAAUGGCUGUUCAGAUCAGUUCUACCCAGACUACCAGG